AUUGAACGCUGGCGGCAGGCCUAACACAUGCAAGUCGAACGGCAGCACAGAAGAGCUUGCUCUUUGGGUGGCGAGUGGCGGACGGGUGAGUAAUGUCUGGGAAACUGCCCGAUGGAGGGGGAUAACUACUGGAAACGGUAGCUAAUACCGCAUAACGUCGCGAGACCAAAGUGGGGGACCUUCGGGCCUCACACCAUCGGAUGUGCCCAGAUGGGAUUAGCUAGUAGGUGGGGUAAUGGCUCACCUAGGCGACGAUCCCUAGCUGGUCUGAGGGGAUGACCAGCCACACUGGAACUGAGACACGGUCCAGACUCCUACGGGAGGCAGCAGUGGGGAAUAUUGCACAAUGGGCCCAAGCCUGAUGCAGCCAUGCCGCGUGUAUGAAGAAGGCCUCCGUGUUGUAAAGUACUUUCAGCGGGGAGGAAGGCGGUGAGGUUAAUAACCUCGCCGAUUGACGUUACCCGCAGAAGAAGCACCGGCUAACUCCGUGCCAGCAGCCGCGGUAA
rnacentral:rRNA from 1 species